UCUGAGCGUUUUUUAAAAAUUGUUUAUAAAAACAACACCGGGAAUAUACAAAGUUGAUAUUUCGUAUAUGCUUGCAUAUUAUUUUUUCUCCAUAAAUGCAGAUUGAUUCGUAAUCCAUCGUCCUUUUUUUUAUAUAAAAAAAUAAUAAGAAAUCUACGAAUUGCGUCUCUUAAAAGGUACUUCGCGACAACCGAAUUGCGUCCACGGUAUUUUGGCUGCUGUUGCGUUCGUAAAAAUAAUAAAUUGUUAUCAUAUAUGUUCGGUGGUACAUCUACUCGUAAUGUUGGAUGUUAGACUAUUGGCCAGUCUUAUCAAUUAUUGUUACCAUAUCUGUAAAAACUAAUAAUUUAUUGAAAAAGUUUAAACAUACCAAAAAUUUUUAAAUUUAAACUAUUUAGUGAAAAUAAAUACGUGUUAAAGGAAGUAAGAUAACGGGGGCAUUUGUGCCAAAGGGCGCUCGACUAAAUAUAAAACUCGACAUUAAAUUAACAAUAUAGUUUGUUAGUUUUUGUAUUCAAAAACUUUGUUUAAAGUAAUAAUAAACAUAGUUUGGUAAUGAGAAGUGCAACCUAUAGUAACGCGUAGUAAUUAAUGAGUACCUAUUUGGAAAAAAUUCAGUACCCAUGAAGAAUCUUAUUUAAUGGAGGUAAAAUAUCGGUUUUUAAUAAAAAAAAUUGUAAAAAAAAGACUGAAAAUUUGGGUGGAGGGGAUUAACCUUUAAAUCGUCCUCAUAUAAAGCCUUAAGAGGAAACGCUUAAAAAUCGAUGUCCUUUGGCGUCAAUAAUGACUUAAAUCUGGUAUUUAUUAACGGAUACAAAUUUUCUUUCCAAACAUUUUUAAAUGAUAAAGUUCAAAGGUGACCGUGUUCAAAAUGUUUACGAUUUACAAUUUAUAAUACCUACCUGAUGUUCAUACACCUGAUUUUUAACCAUAUCGUUAGUGAAUAAAUGAUAGCCCUCGAUAUGUAAAAGUGGAAACAAAACCAUGCAUAUUAUAUCAAUUAUUAACGGGGAUGCAAAUCGAAUGUAUCGUGAGAAAAUCAUGGACGCAACUACGACAAAAUAUAAUUUUGGACGCAAUUCGAGUGCGCUGUUCGUAACAUUACAAUAAUACUGUUAGACAAAUUGUCGAAAUACAUAUGUUAAAUUUUUGGUUUUUCUUUUUAUAAAUAUAUAUAUAUAUAUAUAUAUAUAUAUAUAUAAUAUACGAAUAAAACAUACUUAAUAAUCAUAAUAAUAUUAUGGUGACAUGAUCAGUUGAG